rnacentral:misc_RNA from 1 species
UUAAGUUCAGCGGGUAUCCCUACCUGAUCCGAGGUCAAACUGUGGAAGUGGGCUUGAUGGACGCCGAUCCGCCAGCCUCGAGAAGCGCAAUGUGCUGCGCGAGAAGCUGGCAAGGACCGCUGCCAAUACCUUUGGGGCGAGUCCACGCACGAAGCGGGACAGACGCCCAACACCAAGCUGAGCUUGAGGGUGUAAAUGAC